ACCGGAGCUAAUACCGGAUAAUAUUUUGAACCGCAUGGUUCAAAAGUGAAAGACGGUCUUGCUGUCACUUAUAGAUGGAUCCGCGCUGCAUUAGCUAGUUGAUAAGGUAACGGCUUACCAAGGCAACGAUGCAUAGCCGACCUGAGAGGGUGAUCGGCCACACUGGAACUGAGACACGGUCCAG
rnacentral:rRNA from 1 species